rnacentral:lncRNA from 1 species
AAAGCCCCACUCAGGAGCUCAGAGCCGUAGGCUGGGUGCAGGCAUGAGGAUAUCCCAGUGAGUACCAAGCCCAGAAGGGAUCUGGGGUCGUCCCAACAGGCUAGGUUCCCCCCUGGGUGAACUAGGGGAACUCUGUAGGGGCUGUUCAUUAACACACGAACACAGAUGCUUCCGCCUCUGGAGACUUGGACUCCACCCCAAACAGAGGCAGAAACAGGGAGGACAGGGGUCUAGGACCCUAGGACCCUGGCGUGUGCAGUUGACCCCCCAGGACCAUGCAUGGGAGGCAGGGGACGUGUGGCAGUUGGACAGGGCUGUGCUUAGGGGUCGGGGCUAUGGCAGGGACAGGGCUGUGCAUGGAGUUGCACAGGGUCUCCCCAACAAGUGAUGCUGCUGCUGGUGGAGGUGGAGGUGGUGGUGGUGGAGGUGGAGGUGGUGGAGGUGG